AAACACUCAGAGUUUGAUCCUGGCUCAGAACGAACGCUGGCGGCAAGCUUAACACAUGCAAGUCGAACGGAUUUUUGUCGUAGCUUGCUAUGAUAAAAAUUAGUGGCAGACGGGUGAGUAAUGCAUAGGAAUCUACCUAGUAGUAUGGGAUAGCCACUAGAAAUGGUGGGUAAUACUGUAUAAUCCCUGCGGGGGAAAGAUUUAUCGCUAUUAGAUGAGCCUAUGUUAGAUUAGCUAGUUGGUAGGGUAAAGGCCUACCAAGGCAGUGAUCUAUAGCUGGUCUGAGAGGAUGAUCAGCCACACUGGAACUGAGAUACGGUCCAGACUCCUACGGGAGGCAGCAGUGGGGAAUAUUGGACAAUGGGCGCAAGCCUGAUCCAGCUAUGCCGCGUGAGUGAGGAAGGCCUUAGGGUUGUAAAACUCUUUCAGUGGGGAAGAUAAUGACGGUACCUACAGAAGAAGUCCCGGCAAACUCAAGAGUUGGA
rnacentral:rRNA from 1 species